UAAAUAUUAAAAAUUUAAAUGUAAAGGUUAGUUUUACACCGUCAAAGAUGUUACUUGUUCUGUCUAUCUAAAACUGUGUAUUUCAUUCGAGAACCAAGAGAUAAAAAAAAAGGGAAAACUUAGAAGCCAACAGAAGACCUAUCUUUAAGGGUGAGGAGUGAACAAGCACAAGUGCAGUCCAGCUGGUCAUGCAUGGUGGGACAGGCCCUGGGAGGAGUCCACGCAUGGUGAAAGAGGGAGGUGCCUCCUUGAGCCUAACGAAUAACUGAACCUGCUGGACGGGUCAAGUGGCGCCCAACGUGGGGCUCGAGGCACGGUGACCUACCCGACGGGGCUGGAGACGGGGAUCCCCAAUCAUUUAAGGGUAGAGACGCCCACAUCGCAUCACUCGUGCACCGUGGGAAGUCUUGAGAUGCAGCUAGAACUCCAGACGUGGACCUUCCUGUUUGAAUUAUUAAAUAACAGAUUAAUCUCUUGUCUUCUAAGCCCAUACAGGUU